UACGUAGGGGGCAAGCGUUGUCCGGAAUCAUUGGGCGUAAAGGGUGCGUAGGCGGGUUUUUAAGUCAGAGGUGAAAUCCUGGAGCUCAACUCCAGAACUGCCUUUGAUACUGAGAAUCUUGAGUAUGGGAGAGGUGAGUGGAACUGCGAGUGUAGAGGUGAAAUUCGUAGAUAUUCGCAAGAACACCAGUGGCGAAGGCGGCUCACUGGCCCAUAACUGACGCUGAGGCACGAAAGCGUGGGGAGCAAACAGG
rnacentral:rRNA from 1 species